AACGGCCCACCAAGGCGACGAUGCGUAGGGGUUCUGAGAGGAAGGUCCCCCACACUGGUACUGAGACACGGACCAGACUCCUACGGGAGGCAGCAGUGAGGAAUAUUGGUCAAUGGCCGCAGGGCUGAACCAGCCAAGUCGCGUGAGGGAUGACGGUCCUAUGGAUUGUAAACCUCUUUUGUCAGGGAGCAAAGGACGCCACGUGUGGCGUUUUGCGAGUACCUGAAGAAAAAGCAUCGGCUAACUCCGUGCCAGCAGCCGCGGUAAUACGGAGGAUGCGAGCGUUAUCCGGAUUUAUUGGGUUUAAAGGGUGCGCAGGCGGAAUGUCAAGUCAGCGGUAAAAUUUCGGGGCUCAACCCCGUCGUGCCGUUGAAACUGGCGUUCUUGAGUGAGCGAGAAGUAUGCGGAAUGCGUGGUGUAGCGGUGAAAUGCAUAGAUAUCACGCAGAACUCCGAUUGCGAAGGCAGCAUACCGGCGCUCAACUGACGCUCAUGCACGAAAGCGUGGGUAUCGAACAGGAUUAGAUACCCUGGUAGUCCACGCAGUAAACGAUGAAUACUAACUGUCCGGGCCGAUUGAGGUCUGG
rnacentral:rRNA from 1 species